rnacentral:rRNA from 1 species
UACGAAGGGGGCUAGCGUUGCUCGGAAUCACUGGGCGUAAAGGGUGCGUAGGCGGGUCUUUAAGUCAGGGGUGAAAUCCUGGAGCUCAACUCCAGAACUGCCUUUGAUACUGAAGAUCUUGAGUUCGGGAGAGGUGAGUGAAACUGCGAGUGUAGAGGUGAAAUUCGUAGAUAUUCGCAAGAACACCAGUGGCGAAGGCGGCUCACUGGCCCGAUACUGACGCUGAGGCACGAAAGCGUGGGAGCAAACAGG